GAACUGUCAAGUCAGGGAGGAGUGGAGCAGCAGGAAGGAGCAGAGCAGAGGGAGAAGCCAGCACGAGUUUUCCUGGAGGCUUUUUGUCUUAUUGGUAUUGAAGAGAAUGAGAGGACUAGACACCCUUGUAAAAGAGGCUUGGGAUAAUUACACAUGACACAGGGAGUACAAUUCAUAAAUUAAACAGGAGAGGGCCCCAAAACCUGCAUGCAAGGAAGAAGAGUAUUUGAAGUUCUGGACCCUGUGGAAACCACUGAUGGAUUCAGAGCCAAUCAUGCCAAAGGCUUGAAGCUUUCUAGGAAAAAGAGAACAUUUUCUGUUUGGUGAGGAAAAGCAAACAUGCAAGAGCACUUACUUGAAAGGCCUUUGGUGUCAAAUCUGCAAGCUGAGUGUAGUAACAUGGAAGAUGUUGGCAAAGUCUGUCUGAUGAAAAUUCCUGUAAUUUUUUUCACCUGCCUUAAACUAUCUCUGUGUCUGUGAAGAAUAAGUAGCAAGAACCCCUUGUGAUGUGAUAGCAUUCUCAUUCUUUUGCUUUGAUGCAAAUCUACUUUACAUAGGAACAAAUUAAUUAGCUUAAUCAUGAA